AUGAACUAUAUCUUAAGAAUUCAUAAAGCCCUAAAAAGUAAAUAUUUACAACCAGAAAUCUUUCUGACAAAGAAACAAGAUUACUCAAAGUAAGUAGUAGUUUGGGCUCCCUGGAAAGAACCCAGAACUUAAGUGUCAGGAAAUGUGGAUAGUUCUGAAUGUGCCCCUGGCUGGUUGAUGACUCUGGGCAACUUAUGCAGUACCUCUAACUCAUGGUUUAUUUACCUGAAAAAUAAGUGGGUUGGCUAUGUCUGUGGUUUGAAAGGUGCUCUAUGAUGUCCCAGAUGUCUUAGCAGUGUAUCAUUGGCUGUUUUGGAGGCUGUCAGGGGUCCAGAUGGCUGCUCCCACUGAGCCUGCUUUUAACAGAGCUUUUCAGUUUGUAUUUCUUGUAUACACAAAGUAAUAUUAAAUAAAAAAAAUAUAAUCCAGCUAAGAAAGUUUGAGAAUACUGGCUUGAGAUUCAAAAUAAAAUAAACCAAAAAUUUUAGAAAUUAUAUUAGUCUAGAAAGAUAGUAUUGUGUCUCUUUGUCUUUUUAGUACCUAGCACAUAUCAGGUACUUGAUACAUAUUUAUCAUAUGAAUGCAAUGGUUGUAAUGAACAACUGGGAAGGAAAUGCAAAAGCAGAAGGCACCAUAUUUGUGUUGCUAUUCCUGGGUGUCAUUUCUAUGUAACUUGUGAUAACCAGUAGUAAAGAACAACAUGGACUAUGUUUAAUAGACAACAACUAAUUUUAUUGGAUUUGUGUACAUAAUCUGAAAUUUAGUCUAAGGACAAGCCAUAUUACUAUAAAUUCCAGGAAAUCUAGAGAGAAAAAAUGGGCAAUUUAGAACAGACUAGAAGAGUAACUCUUUCAGUUUGUCUGGAAAACCGAAUCUAAGGAAUAAGGUCAGUUUGCAGUUUCUUUCAAGUAGAAUUGGUGACUCUUGGAUGCAGUUUAUAAACACGUAACACAUUUUCCUUGCAUGGAAAUAUAUCUAUUCUAUGACCUCUUCUACAUGAAGAAAAGAUUUGAAAUUUUCUUCUCCAUUAAAUAAUGUUUUGUGUGCAUGUUGCAAAAAUAAGAGAGAAGCAAGAAUAACUCUAGCAGAUGCUUAAAGGUUUAAGAUUAAAGACACAUGUAAAUGUGAUUCAUAGUGGGUGUUCUGUGCACUUGAGUGAAUAUUCCCAAAUCACAGCUAGAAAAAUUUAGGAGUAAAUUGACUUAACUUAUGGUAAAUCAAUAGGGGUCCCUGAAUUGGAGGGAAACAGAUGAGCAAGAAAAAAAUUAUUUGACAGGACUCCACUAAGGAAAACAACAUUCAAGUAACAGAUGAGGUAUUCUACUGCCCAGAGGAAUUACCCAGCCUUUAGCAAGGCGAAGUCAGCCUCAACUGGCAGGAGGUUUGUUUUAAAACUGAAAUGAGAAAAAGGAUCUGGGCUUACAAAUGAUGGGAAGAUAUAUUAUCAACAGGGAAAAAAACCCCCAGAAAAUAGCAACUAACUUGUUUCCCCAGCACAACUGAAAGGAUGAAGAAGGAAAACAAUUUAAUGUACCCUGGUCAUGCAGUUACUUUCCUUUAUCCUUACUAACAGUGCUUGUCAAGAUGGUUCUGGAAACUGAAUAAAUGUAAGUAAUGAAUCAUGA
rnacentral:lncRNA from 1 species